rnacentral:lncRNA from 1 species
AACAGUAUUUCUGUAGUACAAUGUGUGAACAGGUACCCUCAAACUAAAGUCGGCAUUGCAGCAAACCGGAAUAAUACGAAGCUUGAUUCAGAGCCGAAGGUGCUGAGCAGGAAAGCUUCGGCGUAACAGCAAAGAGUGGAACCGACUUAAAGAUGAAAAGGCUAUCCAGACCCCGAUAGAUUACUAUAGAGUUAUUAUCAAAUGUAAAGGGCAUGAAUGUAAUUUUGUAAGGGCUGUGUCCCUUGUCUAUAAAUAGGUGAACAGUAUCCCCGUACUGUUCACGCUGACUUGGCAUUCGUUUUUUGCGCCAAGCUUGUACUGUCAUUCCCUUCCGAUUGAAGGUACACCUGUAAUUCGACAAUGUUUCUGUUUAUGCCCUGUCAUAAUAUAUGAUUACUUAUAUUGUCUUUAAUAUUCUUUAUAUUUCAUUCCUCGCUAUUACUUAAUGAAUGUAUGAAGGUAUGUCCUUCAUAACCUUCGUCCGCAAGCCAUUACAUCCUAAGGGAAAUAAUGCUUCGGGGACGAAGGACUUUAACGAUUAACAUUUUCUAUGUUGCCUUGUUCUUAACUCAUAGCAUUUGAGAACAAGCCCCCAACAUUGGCGCCCACCUCCAGUGAACUCACUUCCAUUUCUUGAGUUUUUUCAACACCUUCGGCAAGCAUCACCUUCGUCAUGCCGCCGAAGAAGACUUCAGCACCAGGGGCUGGCACGCUGCAGCCGUUGGACCCCAAUCAAGACGUCCUUUCUCUUAGAGAGGCACGAAGCCAGAAGAGGAAGGCUACCAGUCCAACACCUCCGGAGGAUGAUCUAGAUCAGGAGAUUCAAAAUCUGGAAAUCCUUCAGCAACAGGUUCAACGCAAGAAGGAGAAGAUGGCCAGGCUAGCUGAACUGCAGAGGCAAAUAGACGAAGCCUCUGAAGAAGUUCGCCAUCUUGCUCAGGAUGAGCAACACCGAAGGCCUCAGCAUCAAGAUCUUCAUCAGGAGGGUUUUGCCAACGAAGAUGACUGGUAUGACAAUUUCCAUCAUGGGAAUUUUGUUUUUGAUGAUGCUUCUCCCCUGUCCGCUGAGCUGCAGGCUACACCUUGGCCCCCGUCCUACAAGCCGCCUCAGCUCCCCGUAUUUGAUGGCCACUCAGACCCGAAGCAGUUUUUGAUGAGCUACGAAGCAACAGUGUCUUCGUAUGGUGGCAAUGCUUCGGUCAUGGCCAAGUCUUUCGUUAUGGCUGUCAGAAGCGUUGCUCAAACCUGGUAUUCCUCCCUUCGACCAGGAACGAUCACCUCAUGGCAGAAGCUGAAGGACUUGCUGUUAACUAGCUUUCAAGGGUUUCAGACGAAGCCGGUCACUGCUCAGGCUCUCUUCCAAUGCACUCAGGACCAUGAAGAGUACCUUCAGGCAUAUGUCCGAAGGUUUCUGCGAUUGAGGGCACAGGCGCCAACAGUGCCCAAUGAGAUUGUCAUUGAGGCUAUGAUCAAGGGGCUUCGGCCAGGGCCGUCAGCACAGUAUUUUGCCAGGAAGCCACCACAAACGCUGGAAAAGCUGCUCCAGAAGAUGGACGAAUACAUUCGAGCUGACAAUGAUUUUCGUCAAAGAAGGGAGGAGGCUUUCAGGUUUUCUGAAAUGACCAGGGGCUUCGGAGGAAGGUUUUACCCGAGACAUGUCAGGUCAAUUCACAAUUCCACUCAGAAUGAUGAUAAAGGGAGUCAGCACCAAAGGCCACAAUACUCCUCACAGGCUUCAGGGCAACAACAAAGUUCCUUCCGACCUCCAGCUCCAAGAGGCAGAGGCGCCAGGGGCUUCGGAGGAAGAUUCGGCGAUCAACCAAGAAGAAUCUUUUGCUUAUUCUGCGGUGAGAACAAAGGCCAUACUACCAGGAUGUGCCAUGUCACUAUUCAGAAGCAAAAGGAAAUAGCUGAAGCAGCAGCACAACAAGCUCAGCCGAAGCAGGUUAUGCAUACAGCUUCGUAUCAUUCGCCCUACAUCCCAGAAUAUGUAGGCAACCAUCCUGCAGUCUCUGUUGCUUCGGCGAGUCAGCCUCAAGCUUCCUGGCAACAGCCUCCGCCUCCACCUCCGUUGCAGCAAGGCCAGCAGCCAGAAGGGAGCCAAUACGCUCCGCAACAAAGGGACUUCAGAGAACAGUCCGAAGCUCGCACGGUCAACAGCACUGUGCCAGAAUCAAAGCACAUCUAUUGAUAAAUAUCCUACCUUAAUAGCAAUCUUUUUCAUUCAGUUUUAUUUUCUGUAAUAAAGGACAUUGAUUAGGUUUCAUGUAAUUAGUUUCGUUGAUUCCUACAAAAAAAUAUGUUUUCUUCACAGGCUUGUGAUAAUAAAAAGGACCUUCGAACUAUCGACAAUUCUUCGAAGCAACAAAAAAGUCGUUCUAAGGAACGCAGAGUAAGUUUGAUGAAGUCACAAAAAGUCGUUCCGAAGGGAACGCAGUGUAAGUUUUCUGCUCCAAAGUCGUUCCAAAAGGAAUGCAGAGCAUACAGCGAAAAGUCAACGCUGAUACCGCCUAAGUAAAAGGCGAAGAAGCUCCAAAGACGUUCCUAAGGGAAUGCAGAGCUUACAGCGAAAAGUCAACGCUGAUUCCGCUGAAGUAAAAGGCGAAGAAGCUCCUAAGGGAGGCUUAUAGCAAAAAGUUAAUGCUGGUUCGCAAAAAAGAUUGAGUUUUAUCGCGCAGAUAUGCGUGUACCUUCGGAAUACCACUUUACAUAGCAUAACAUCAUCACAUCAUUUUGCAUAACAUAAGCAUCAUACAUCAUACUGCAUGUGGCAUAAGAAAGAGAUAUGAUAUCAAUCUUCGGGAAAACGCUUUGAAAAAGGAGCAAUUCAUGCCAAGUCACAAGGAGAAAUAAUAUUGAUCUCUGAAGCAUAGCCUUGAGGAAUGAUUCUACGAAGCUUCAACACUUUUCGGGAUACUUCGGAUAUUGUUGUGAUAAAUGGUAAUACUUCUUCACGAAGCAUGAAAAGAAGGGAAGGUGUUUUUUCGCCAGACUCAAAAACGGUACGUAUGUAAAGUUUCAUGCAUCGUAAAGAAUUGAACCAUUAAGAAAAAUAAGACAAAUAUAUUACAUACAGGAUUACAAGAUAUUACACAUGUUACAUUUAAAAUGUUUUUACAAUAGCAUUUAGUCCUCCCUAAGUACCACUUCUGCGGCUUCGUUCAACAGUCGAUCAACAACUUCGUCCAUGAUAUCUUCGGCCAUCUUUUUAAUUUCGUCGUCCCCCUUCGGCUGAGGGUCCGAAGGCGCUUUAGUCGGAUCUGAAGCAGGACACGGCUACAUUGCUAUUACAAAUCGCAAACAGAUCUUAAAAGCCUAAAGAUUGCAACACGAUAAAAACUAUUAUUUAGUACCUAAUUGACCUUCGGCUUCUGCGCUCUUGGCAGCAGCCUCAGCUACUUCUCUGGCAUCAUGAAUGCCCUUUUCACUUCUUCGAAUAAUUUCUCCGGCCAUUUCUCGGCCACCAUUGUCCCAGAUAUCGGUAAAAAACUUUCCACCAAUUAUGCUAGCUUCGGCCGAAGGAUCUUUUGUAUCUUCAAAGGACAAAGCAGCUUCGGACUGUGCUAAAAUUUUUACAUGUUCGCAGCCCUUCUUCUCUAAAAUGGUGGCAAUCCCUCUGGCGCCAGAGAAGGCACAUAUAUCUCCUCGGCUAUUUAAAAUUUCUUCGAAGGCUUCAGCUUCGUGGUCAAUCCAUUCAAUGACACCUUCGGGAUUGCCUCUCGAAAAGUUUUCCUCACUUGAGAAUGCGCCGACCUUGGCGAAGCUAGCCUUUAAUUUUUUAACACAAUCUAUAGAUUUAUUGUAGCAUCUCUUUUUGGAUGAACGAAGCUCUUCAACAGUCACUUCUAGGUGAUCUGCCCAUUGAUCGCUGAGUUCACGUUUUGUUUCUUCAAGUAUACGUUCUUCUUUGGCUCUGGCCAGUUGUUUCCGAAGGUCUUCAAUUUCGCGUUUCUGAGCUUCAGCUUGACUUUUAAAAGCAGCUUCGUCCUCCUUUAUUUUAUCUAUCAAUGAGUAUAAAAUUUUGUCUUUUUCGAGACCUUCGUUCCUCAGCUCAAUUACUUCGGAACGAAGGUUGCUCAGGGCUAUAGUACACCCUUCGUCUUCAGCAUCUUUCUGUGCCCUGAGGGCAUUGCUGAGUAUUAGGCCCUGCAGAACAUGUCUGUGUCAAUAGUUUUAAACAAACGAAAAAUUUUGAACUCGACAAAAAUACAAGAAUUCCAUUUGUCGCACCUUUAAACUGUUGUAAGCUAGGCUGUCAGCUAGAUCGUUCUUUGACAGCACCGAAAGUCCGUCUUCUAAAAUUGGGAAUCCGAAGCUUCUGCUCAUUUCCCGACAGACAGAAAUUUCCUUGCUGUCGGGGAGACAAUACAAGAAAUCUUCUUCUCCACUACCAUUAAAUAUCAACGCCCCCUUCGGAUAUUUCAACUUUUGGGCAUAGUGCUGGGCCUCUUGUUCUUCUUUUUCUGAUAAUUUUUUCCCCGAAGCAUGACGAAAAAUAUAAUCACGAAUUUUGGGGGAUGCUUCGGGGGUAACAACACCAGUUUCUUCAACAAAGGUUGGCUUUGUUAUUUUUUCUGCCUCACUUUCCAAGGCUUUUGCCUUUGCGGGCUCUGAGGGCCCAGCUUCGGCUUCAAUUUCCUGCUCUGGAGCCGUAGAACCAGAAAUUUCAGUUGUUGUUUCAGAAGCAACAGCAGCCUUCUUCGGAGGUGUGCUUGAAGAUUUGAUUGUUUCCAGUACAUCUAGCACAUUGGCCAUUCUCUUUCUUUUCGGGGUCAUGGCUGGCAUUUUUUGGUUCUUUACUGUCUCAAUGUUUGCUGCAGGACUCAAAACUCCGGAUGUUUUGGAGCCCUCAGCUGCUUCUUUUAUUUCUUCAAUUUUUUCUGUGGACGGCGCUUCGGCUUUCUCUUCUGUUUCUGAUAACAAAAUGUUUGAUUGUUCCGAUUCUAUUUUUGGUGGCACUUCGGCCGUUUCUGCGACCUCUGGCAACAAGGCUGGCUCGGUUGGUUUUUCAGCUUCGGUGGCCGAAGAAGUUUUUCCGGUAAACUCGGGCACCGAAGCUGGUUCAAUAUAACGCGGCCGAUGCGUAAGAACCUUUAUCUUUUUCCUUUUCGGUUCUGGCUCGCUAGGAGCAGCUGCAGCUUCUUCUUUUGCAGAGGUUGUGUUUUUUCUCUUCUGCUUUCGAGUGGGAUAGCAAUAGUCAGGGUAGACAAACCCGAUGGCAUCAAAUACCCGAUUCAGUCUCUUCUUCUUUCGGCCUCCGAAGGUUGCUGACAUUGCAUUAUCUUCGGCCUUCGAGUAGGUCCCAAGCAGCUCAUCACUUAAAUUGUCAAUGCUUUUCAACCACUCAUCAUCUGGCUCAAUAAAUUUAUCUCCAAAUUUAAAAGUGUACUUAAACCUGAUAAGUCCACCUUCGUCGGCCUCUUUAAUGGUUUCUUGAGGCAUUUCCCAUUUCUCCGCAAGCGGCCACACCCUGAAGGCAAUAUGCUCUUGUACUAAGUCCCUUGUUCCUAUAAAAGAGCAGACAACGCCGAAGGCUCUUUGACACUCUUCGGCGGCUUCAUUCAUUUCAACCUUCGGCCUCCGAAGGCCGAAGCUUUGCCAAAUAGGACGCAUGAUUAUACCUUUGAUAUCUUCCCGUGCUUUCAGAUCAUUUUUUACAUAGAACCAUUCUGUCAUCCAGCCGCUAGGCCACCUCUUCCGAAAAGUUGGCACGGGGCAGCUUGACCCAGAUCGAGAAACAAAACUGUAGCAGCCAAAGUUAUUGUGAUACUGCUCUUUACCCCAAGGUAUUGUCUCGUAUGAUAAUUCGUGCAUAUUGCAAAAACUUUUUGCAUCAGGCUUCAGACCUUGGCUUCGCACGGCCCACACGAAGAUGUUCAGCCUUAUGAUUGCCUCGGGGGUAAGUUGGUGAAGAUAAACCUCAAAAAUCUUCAGCACCUCCACGACGAAGCUGCUCAAGGGCAAUCGCAGCCCAGCCUUCAGAAAGCUUCGGAACACUACGACUUCAUUCUCUUCAGGGUGUGGGCAAGUCUUCUCCCCUUCGUCGGCCCUCACAACGGACAAAUCCCGGAAAUAUCUUCCUCUCAUGUUAACAAGAUGAUUCUCUUUGAUAGUUGAUUUACCAUAAACUGAGUGGCUUGGUCGCCAGGGGCGAUCUUCGGAGUCUUCGCCACCACUGUCCACAUCAUAACUUUCACUGUCACCAGUAUCUUCAGACAGCCCUUCCAGAAUCUCAUUGGUGAUUUUUUCUGUGUUGGUCUUCGACAUCGCUAUAAGAAAUCCUAAGUUCUUCUCCUCAUCAAGACUCAGCUUCAUCUCAGCAGCAGCCUUCUUAGCAGCUUCAGACAUCUUCGGAAACACUAAAAAACUGUUUUUAAAGCCGAAGCUUCAAAGCUAAAAGCUUAGCAAAUCACAGUGCACAGGAGCUAAAAAUUGAGUGAGCGGGAGUGGUUGGCCAGAAAGCGUGCAAAAUGAGUUUGCGGUAUGGCCGUAUUUAUACGCUCGGUGCGUUGAAAGUUGAAAGACCCCACUUGUCAUUGAAUGUUGCUAUUCUAGCAAAGGGAAGGUGUUUUUUUCGGACCUUCGGCGUAAAGCCUUCGUCCAUAUCGCAAUCUAAAUUUAUUAUUUCAAACAAAUUGAUAUUGCGAGGGGCUACUGUUGGGGACCUUCGGCGUCCGAAGGUCCUCAAAAACAGGAUUUAAUAGUAUUUCUGUAGUACAAUGUGUGAACAGGUACCCUCAAACUAAAGUCGGCAUUGCAGCAGACCGGAAUAAUACGAAGCUUGAUUCAGAGCCGAAGGUGCUGAGCACGAAAGCUUCGGCGUAACAGCAAAGAGUGGAACCGACUUAAAGAUGAAAAGGCUAUCCAGACCCCGAUAGAUUACUAUAGAGUUAUUAUCAAAUGUAAAGGGCAUGAAUGUAAUUUUGUAAGGGCUGUGUCCCUUGUCUAUAAAUAGGUGAACAGUAUCCCCGUACUGUUCACGCUGACUUGGCAUUCGUUUUUUGCGCCAAGCUUGUACUGU